GCCUGGCUGGCUCAGUCGGUUAAGCGUCAGACUUCGGCUCAGGUCAUGAUCUCGCGGUCUGUGAGUUCAAGCCCCGCGUCGGGCU
rnacentral:tRNA from 1 species